GAUAACACUACAUUGCCUCUGCUUCACAGCACUACUGCCGUUGCGAAGGUCUCUUGCACACAUAAGCUUGACAACAGCGUACCCCAGCGCUCUUGCAUCCCCAUCCACAUUAUUUGUGCACCAAAACAGAAAAGCGAACGGCGAGAAAGGCAGUAUGUCGGCAGCUGCCAAGACAGUGCAGAAGUCAGUCGACCGCCUUCGCGGGCAGAUGAUCCGGACGGCCCGCAGAUUUCGCGACUACAACUUUCGCCAGUACUUCGUGCAGCACGUCAAGGACGACUUUGCCGCACUUGCAAAGCUCUCUGAAGAAGAGCAGAGAAAGUUUUUGGCAACAGAGGGGCGCGAUAAGCUGCGUCAGCUACAGCGGAUGGCUUUAGUGAACCAGAUGUAUGCCAAGCGGCCUGUCUACUUUGACACUGCCGCACAGAAGCCUCAUCGAAGGCAGGACGACGGCACGGGUAAGCCAGUCAUAGAGUGAGUGUUAUGAGCUGGACACGUAAGCCUCGCGUCUUCCGUUUCAUUGAAAGCUGCUCUCAUCGAGUCUAUACCAUACAGCCGUAUCUACAUCUCUUUUUAUUUCUCUCUCUCGCUCACAUGCCUUCACAG
rnacentral:misc_RNA from 1 species